GGGGAUAACAGGCUUAUCUCCCCCAAGAGUUCACAUCGACGGGGAGGUUUGGCACCUCGAUGUCGGCUCAUCGCAUCCUGGGGCUGUAGUCGGUCCCAAGGGUUGGGCUGUUCGCCCAUUAAAGCGGUACGCGAGCUGGGUUCAGAACGUCGUGAGACAGUUCGGUCCCUAUCCGUCGUGGGCGUAGGAAAUUUGAGAGGAGCUGUCCUUAGUACGAGAGGACCGGGAUGGACAUACCUCUGGUGUACCAGUUGUCGUGCCAACGGCAUAGCUGGGUAGCUAUGUAUGGACGGGAUAAGUGCUGAAAGCAUCUAAGCAUGAAGCCCCCCUCAAGAUGAGAUUUCCCAACUUCGGUUAUAAGAUCCCUCGAAGAUGACGAGGUUAAUAGGUUCGAGGUGGAAGCGUGGUGACACGUGGAGCUGACGAAUACUAAUCGAUCGAAGACUUAAUCAA
rnacentral:rRNA from 1 species